CCGCGUGAGUGAUGAAGGUUUUCGGAUCGUAAAGCUCUGUUGUUAGGGAAGAACAAGUGCCGUUCAAAUAGGGCGGCACCUUGACGGUACCUAACCAGAAAGCCACGGCUAACUACGUGCCAGCAGCCGCGGUAAUACGUAGGUGGCAAGCGUUGUCCGGAAUUAUUGGGCGUAAAGGGCUCGCAGGCGGUUUCUUAAGUCUGAUGUGAAAGCCCCCGGCUCAACCGGGGAGGGUCAUUGGAAACUGGGGAACUUGAGUGCAGAAGAGGAGAGUGGAAUUCCACGUGUAGCGGUGAAAUGCGUAGAGAUGUGGAGGAACACCAGUGGCGAAGGCGACUCUCUGGUCUGUAACUGACGC
rnacentral:rRNA from 2 species